CACGUAGGGUGCGAGCGUUGUCCGGAAUUAUUGGGCGUAAAGAGCUCGUAGGCGGUGUGUCGCGUCGGCCGUGAAAAACUUGGGGCUUAACUCUGAGCGUGCGGUCGAUACGGGCAUCACUUGAGUUCGGCAGGGGAGACUGGAAUUCCUGGUGUAGCGGUGAAAUGCGCAGAUAUCAGGAGGAACACCGGUGGCGAAGGCGGGUCUCUGGGCCGAUACUGACGCUGAGGAGCGAAAGCAUGGGGAGCGAACAGG
rnacentral:rRNA from 1 species